GGGGAAUUUUGCGCAAUUGGCGAAAGCCCGACGCAGCGACGCCCCGUGAGGGAAGAAGGUUUUUGGAGCGUAAACCUCUGUCAGAAGGGAAGAAACCGCACCGUGCUUAUCAGCGGUGCCUAGACGGUAGCUUCAAAGGAAGCACCGGCUCACUCCGUGCCAGCAGCCGCGGUAAUACGGAGGGUGCAAGCGUUAAUCGGAAUUACUGGGCGUAAAGCGCACGUAGGCUGCUUUGUAAGUCAGGGGUGAAAUCCCACGGCUCAACCGUGGAACUGCCUUUGAUACUGCUUAGCUUGAAUCCGGGAGAGGGUGGCGGAAUUCCAGGUGUAGGAGUGAAAUCCGUAGAUAUCUGGAGGAACAUCAGUGGCGAAGGCGGCCACCUGGACCGGUAUUGACGCUGAGGUGCGAAAGCGUGGGGAGCAAACA
rnacentral:rRNA from 1 species